rnacentral:rRNA from 1 species
AUUGAACGCUGGCGGCAGGCCUAACACAUGCAAGUCGAACGGUAACAGGAAGAAGCUUGCUUCUUUGCUGACGAGUGGCGGACGGGUGAGUAAUGUCUGGGAAACUGCCUGAUGGAGGGGGAUAACUACUGGAAACGGUAGCUAAUACCGCAUAACGUCGCAGGACCAAAGAGGGGGACCUUCGGGCCUCUUGCCAUCGGAUGUGCCCAGAUGGGAUUAGCUAGUAGGUGGGGUAACGGCUCACCUAGGCGACGAUCCCUAGCUGGUCUGAGAGGAUGACCAGCCGCACUGGAACUGAGACACGGUCCAGACUCCUACGGGAGGCAGCAGUGGGGAAUAUUGCACAAUGGGCGCAAGCCUGAUGCAGCCAUGCCGCGUGUAUGAAGAAGGCCUUCGGGUUGUAAAGUACUUUCAGCGGGGAGGAAGGGAGUAAAGUUAAUACCUUUGCUCAUUGACGUUACCCGCAGAAGAAGCACCGGCUAACUCCGUGCCAGCAGCCGCGGUAAUACGGAGGGUGCAAGCGUUAAUCGGAAUUACUGGGCGUAAAGCGCACGCAGGCGGUUUGUUAAGUCAGAUGUGAAAUCCCCGGGCUCAACCUGGGAACUGCAUCUGAUACUGGCAAGCUUGAGUCUCGUAGAGGGGGGUAGAAUUCCAGGUGUAGCGGUGAAAUGCGUAGAGAUCUGGAGGAAUACCGGUGGCGAAGGCGGCCCCCUGGACGAAGACUGACGCUCAGGUGCGAAAGCGUGGGGAGCAAACAGG